rnacentral:sRNA from 1 species
GAGCAUUUGGUAUUCAAAAUUAUCGUCCAUAUCGGGCCAUAUCUUAUCUCAUCUCCCUUGGAAAACCCUUCAAAAAGCAGUCAGCGAACGAUGCUCAAAAAGAAAUCCAAUUUAAUGACUGUGAAGCAGCCCCUGCGGAAUCUUAAGGAACCCCACUCAAUCGAUGGACACCCGUUGCACGAUGACUUGUGCUGUCAGUGUACUCGGAGUGGACUUGGGUCACUAAAACUUAACAAAAUGCCACUAGCAAAUUAUAAAAUAGUUAGUUUAAGGAAAUAAAGUGUAUUAGUA